UGGGUUAAUUUCACCUCCUUUAAAUUUCAGAUGGUUAUAAUAAAAUAUGAUACGUAAGUUAGUGCCACUUAUUGUCCACUACAUAUGACAAUAUCGUGGAUCAUAAUUUUUUAUGGCAAUUAUCGAUUAUCAAGAUAACAAACUUUUCUUCCUCUAUAAAAAAGAAAUAUAAAGGAUCAUUCGGUAAGUUUUUUGGAGAACUAAAAAGCACACUUUUGCUAAUUCUCUCUAACUUUUCUCAAAGUUUCAGCUAACUUAAGCAUCGGAGAAUUUUCAGUG
rnacentral:lncRNA from 1 species